rnacentral:lncRNA from 1 species
UGUUAAUUCUCUGAUGGCUGGGUCUGCGUUUUACUCAUCUCUGAACUCCCUAAUCUGGAUCUUUCUCUAGAUCCGAACUUUGUACUGCCAUUACCUGCUCAUUUAUCCAUUUCGCACGGUUUUUGGUGCCCAUGAACCAGACACGAAUUGCCAGUUUAUUCAUUGAUUCAUUCGCUAACUGAACAAAUCUGUAAUAAGCACCUAACUUGGGCUAGCACCCGGCUAGGCUAGGGGGAUUCAAAAGAUGCAUAAUACAUGGCAGUUGCCCUCAAAGCUCACAGAGACGACUGUCCGUAACCAAGCAACUAUAGUUCAAUAUCUUGUGUGCCUUGUCAGGGACAGAUGCAGCCUAUGGGCGCCCCAAGGAGGAGCACCGAACCCCAGAGAGAUAUCUAAGCUGAGGCAUAAAGACACCCGAAAUUGCUGGGUGCAAAGGAGAGGACUGGCAGAGGGCACUGCAUGAGUCUAGGCAUGAGAAAACACCCUGCUAUUGCCUGGGAACCCUAAACCCAGAACCCCUAGUCUGCGCUGCUGGGCUGUCCAGGUGGGGUGGGGUGAGGUGGGGAAGAGGGAACAAAUGAGGGCACAUGAGGAUGAAGAAGUAGACAAGGCCUACAACUCCCCCACCCCCAACAGAGUUUGGACUUUGCUCUGAGGGCAUUAGAUAGUCUCUGACUGGCUUUUCCGAGGAGGUUGACCCUGUUUUGUGUUUUUAAAAGAUUGCUAAAACCAAAGCACAUACCAUUAAUACUAAAUGUGAGGCUGUUGUAGUUGUUGAGGGAAGGAUGGCAGGGAAAAGGUGAGGUAGGCUGGAGAAUGUUAGAGUGAGCUGUUCUUAACUUCACCGACCCAUUGAGAAUCUGAGGGCAGCAUGUUUCUUACGGGCGCAGGAGUCCCUAACCCUAGGAGGUCCAGAGCCAUUGGAAGCCACUGACGGUGUAAGCCCAAGAGGUACAGGAUGAAAUCUGAAUUUUACUGUGACCUGUGUGCCUGCCCAGUGGAGAGUGGAGUGUGUCUGUCACCACAUGCAGAUGUUGAGAAGGUUCUUGGAAACCUGGGUUUGGACGUGGCGUGGAGGUCUGGGCUAGAGAUGAAGAUGAGAAGUUGUCGAUAGACAGAUGAUAAUUGCGGCUGUGGAUGAGGAGAAGCUUACCCAGGGAGAAGAAUGUGGAGAGAGAAGAGAGAUGGCCCAGGAUGAAGUUUUGAGUGGGAGGCAAGGUCUUCUGCUGAGAGUGAAGAAGAGGUGGUGAGGAGUUUGAAAGAAUGAUCAUUCAGAGUGUUGAGAAGCAACUUGCCCACAAAAUCCCCAAUUGCCUGACAGCCUUGGCUCCCCAGUUGAGGUUGGUGGUCCUUAGUGUAUGUGUGUCUCGUCCUGUCCUGCUGAGUGAAUUCCUCCAUCAGGGCUCACCUACCCAGCUGCAGGCUGGGGAGAUGUAUGUACAUAGUGGGAUUUAUCCAGGCCUAGGGCUUUGCCAGAUGGGUGGGGAAAAAAGGGCACAGGAGUCUAAAGUAUUGGCAAAGAGAUGCUAAAAUUCUGGGUCCUGGGAUCUACACUGGGUAGCGAGGGAAGCAAGGCAGAUGGAUGUUUGCAGGGAGAGAGUGGAAUCCUUCACGGGCCAGGCCUUAUGAGGGACCCCUGAGAUCAGAGAGGGCUGGGAGCUGGAACUGGUGGUGACACCCAGGUUUCUGCUUGGGUGGCUGGAUGGGUGAUGAAUGUACAUGAUGAGCAUACAAACCAUUGUAAGAUCUAAGAUUUUUUUCCACCAACACCUCCAGGAACCAGUUUUCAUUUCCUCGAGGGCAUCAAGGCCCCAUUUGAGAAUGCAUGCCUUAGUAGAAUGUAAACUCCCUGAAGGCAGACUUACCUUUGCCUUGUUGGUUGCAUUAUUUCCAACAUUUUGCACAGUGCCUGCAUACAGCAGGCACUUAAUAAGUAUUGGCAAGUGCAGGAAUGGUUACAGACCUCUCCUGAAGAAGAAGGGAGGGCAGGGCAGGCAAGGUGCUCACUGAGUUUAGGCCUGGAGGCAGGAAUGUGGAAGGCUUUGGAAGGCAGUGGGGAAGGAACUGGAUUGUGCAUCCUUGGCUGACCCUGGAAGAAAUGCAGAACUGGAAUUAAAUUAAAGAACGAAAACAAAACCACACCAGGAUUGUCUAAUACCUUCUGUCUGGCAACAGGUUGUUUUUGUUUUGCUCCUAAUAAAAUUCAU